GGGCAUAAGGGUCAUCUGGCUGCGACAUCUGUCACCCCAUUGAUCGCCAGCAUUGAUUUGGCUGAUCUGGCUGGCUAGGUGAGUGUUACCCUCUUCCCUCAAUGCUCCAUGCGUGUCCCUCUGAAAGCUGUGCACUGGGUCAAAGAGGACGUUCUACCUGGUCCAGGGUAUAAGAGUAGCUGCACUCCCCUGCUAGAACCUCCAAACAAGCUCUCAAGGUAAGCUAUCACCUGACCCCUCUAGAUUCCUUCUGAUUCAUCUGAAGGCAUGUUAAUUUAAAAUCUUUUUC
rnacentral:snRNA from 1 species